rnacentral:rRNA from 1 species
UACGAAGGGGGCUAGCGUUGUUCGGAAUUACUGGGCGUAAAGGGCGCGUAGGCGGCCUUCUAAGUCGAACGUGAAAUCCCCGGGCUCAACCCGGGAACUGCGUCCGAUACUGGAAGGCUUGAAUCCGGGAGAGGGAUGCGGAAUUCCAGGUGUAGCGGUGAAAUGCGUAGAUAUCUGGAGGAACACCGGUGGCGAAGGCGGCAUCCUGGACCGGUAUUGACGCUGAGGCGCGAAAGCCAGGGGAGCAAACGGG